rnacentral:lncRNA from 1 species
CAGGCUCCGGCCACGUUUCAGCACUGACACCCCAACACCCUGGGACCUGACCCUCGCUCCUCUGCUGUGACGGACGCUCGGGUUAUAGCCAGGCCACAGUAAAAUGCAGCCCCGGGUGCGGCCCCCCUUCUGCACACCCACCCCGCCAUGGCGCCGGGGACCGACGUGAGGGACGGCGAGAGGAUCGCUUGAUAGUCACAAGAGGUUCACGCAGCCACCAGGCCUCUCGCCUGCCUCCACCCCUGCCCGGGUCGAAGCCACUCGCCCCACAGACAAGCUGGAUCACACCCACAUGGACCACAUCACGGGCGCCUCCAUCCGGGUUCCAGGAGGGAGGAAGGAGCACAGACCCCGGCCUGACUGUGAACCGUGAACGCCACCACCAGACACAGACACAGCCUCGUGCUGGUCACCGCUGGCCUGGCUGCAGGGAGCUUCCGUCCCCAGCCAGAUGAAGCCCUGAGCCAAAAACACGUGCCCCUCGUCUGAGAUGUGAGUUUUAGGAUGAACUAAGCCGGCGAGAAGGAGGGAAGCCCCUCCUGGAAGACAGAGUCUCGGGGGAGAUGGACCAGCCAGGAGGGGCUGACCCUGAUGGUGGGAGAGGGGCAGGAAUGGGGGAGGGCACGUCACCACCACCACCAUCAUCAUCAGAACAACAACUAAGGAUCAUCA